GUAUUUUAUGUAAUUUAUAAAUAUAUAAAAAUAUUGAUCGCGUUAUUACUCUUUCGUAGUUUCAACAAUUAGUUACCAUAAAUAAUUAUUUCUAAUAUUAUGUAGAUUAUUUGUAAAGUGGUAAUUGAAUUAUCAUUUCCUUUUAGAUAUAAUUAUAAUAAAUAAAAUUAAAAAUCUUCGGCCAAUCAAAUUAUAACAAUUUGAAGAGUUCAUUUAUGAUCAACACGU
rnacentral:lncRNA from 1 species